CCUACGGGAGGCUGCAGUGAGGAAUAUUGGUCAAUGGGCGGGAGCCUGAACCAGCCAAGUCGCGUGAGGGAAGACGGUCCUAUGGAUUGUAAACCUCUUUAGGCGGGGAGCAAUGCCGGGCACGCGUGCCCGGAGGGAGAGUACCCGCAGAAUAAGCAUCGGCUAACUCCGUGCCAGCAGCCGCGGUAAUACGGAGGAUGCGAGCGUUAUCCGGAUUUAUUGGGUUUAAAGGGUGCGUAGGCGGAUUUUUAAGUCAGCGGUAAAAUGUCCGGGCUCAACGUGGGAACUGCCUUUGAAACUGGCAAACUGGAGUGUGUGAGAGGAUAGUGGAAUUCCAGGUGUAGGAGUGAAAUCCGUAGAUAUCUGGAGGAACAUCAGUGGCGAAGGCGACUAUCUGGCACAUAACUGACGCUGAGGAGCGAAAGCGUGGGUAGCAAACAGGAUUAGAUACCCGAGUAGUC
rnacentral:rRNA from 1 species